rnacentral:ncRNA from 16 species
GUGGAUGGCGGAAUUGGUAGACGCACCACACUCAAAAUGUGGCGAUUAAGUAAUCAUGAGGGUUCGAUCCCCUCUCUAC